UGUUUAUGAAAAUAGCCGCGCAUGUGUAAACAUCGUCUUGUUCGACUCAAAGUAACCUCAUUUUUACUCUCUCUCUCUUACAGGUUUGAGCCUUCAGACGACCGCCCUCCUGAGUCUUCUGGAAAUGAUUGAUCCGACUACCGAAAGACUUUCGCAGGCUAUCGAAACCUCGUCGAGCUGUUAGGUAAGAGACGUUUUUAUUUCUGCAGAAAUAGAAGUUGCCAUAAAUGUCAGUGAGGAUGUGAGAUGCCAAAGAUGUGGACUUGGACAAAUCAGCUCAAACCUUCAUACUUCACACAUACCGCCUUUUAAAGGGACUCAAAAUCAUGUAAAGAUCUCAGAAAAGAGAUUUCAGAUUUGCCGUUUUCGACUCGUUUGUUGGCUAACCAACAGUUUGAAGAAGUUCUUCAUCUGCUCUCUUUUAGAUCUUCAUUCCUCCUGUCCUCACGUUUCUCAUCCGUCUUUUCUUAAGUCUGGGAUUUCAUACGUCUCUUUAUAUCUGUCAGUUUUGAUUUCAAAGAUAUCCUUUAUUAAAACACCAGCGCUCUGAACUUCAGCUCCAAGAUAGUUUUUUUUUUGCGUGUGAAUCGAGUCCAAACUUCCUCCUCUGAUUGGCCGUGCCGUCGGUUCGGCGAGCUCCGGCCGGCUGGUAGGAGAGCUCUGAUGUUUCCAACUUUCAUUCGCAGGCAGAGAAACCUCAGCAAACACGACGCUGAGCGCUCAGCGUGAUUGAUGACCUGUUCUUAUUGAUACAGCGCCUCACAUGUGGUUUGGCCAUUGUGAGCACAUGUGGUUAACCAAUAAAGAACAGAUCGAGGUUACAUGUAGAUUACAGGCUUCGGUUCCAGCUCGCUGUAUUGUCAUUGGCUGGAGGAGUAACCCCAGAGGACAGCUUUAUUUUGGAGCUUGUCAUUACUGGACCUCAGAGCUUUCUAAACGGGUUUAUGUCAUGCUUCAUGGUCCCGAUCGCAUGAACUAAGUGUGUUUUCUCAUGGAGCUCGGCAAGUGUGGACAGCCUUAAAUGAAGUGGUGGUACUUUAAUAGAAAAAUGUGGAGUAGUUUUACCCAAAUGUUUCUGUUCGUAAUGAUUGAAUCCCAGAGAAAGGAAAGUGCAGCUGCAGAUUCAUCAUAUGAACUAAACUGAAGUAAACGUUGGUAUCGUGUCGGUGACGGCGGUCCUGAAACGUCGGAAAUCCACCAGGUCAAAGGAAACACGUCUACAGAGACGUGCCAACAUGCAUGAGGAAGAAAAAGCCUCAAACACUGAAAUUAGCUUAAUAGAAAACCAGGAUCCGACUCCUGGAGAGUCCACGUUUCAGGUCGUCUUUGGUUGUGUACAGGAAACCAUGGCAACGGAUACGAGGGUAAUGUUUGAGUUGGAGCUGAUGCAUGACGUGCAGGAGUUGAUGAAACUGAUUUUACUGCGUAGAAGAGGAGAAGUGAUGCAGAAGAAGAAGGGGGCGGGGACAGCAGGUAACUGACCAAUCACAGUGGAGUUCAGGGAUACCGGAGAUAAAAGAAGCAGAAACACAAAAGCAGAAAAUCUGAAGAGUUGGUUUAAUCUGGAGUAAAUUUAAUCUGGAGAGUUUGUUUAAACUGGAAUAAGUGAAUUCUGGAGUUUGUUUAAUCUAAAAUUUGAUUAAUCUAGAGUUUGUUUAAUUUGGAGAGUUUGUUUAAUCUGGAGUUUCUUUAAUCUGGAGAGUUUGUUUAAUCUGGAAUAAAUUAAUCCUGGAGUUUCUUUUAUCCAGAGUUUGUUAAAUUUAGAGUUUGAUUAAUCCUGAUCGUGUUCAAUUUCAAGAGAUUGUUUAACCUGGUGAGUUAGUUAAAUAUAGAGAGUUUGUUAAAAGUGGAGUUUGUUUAAUCUAGAGUUUGAUUAAUCUAGAGUUUGUUUAAUCUGGAGUUUGUUUAAUCUUGAGAGUUUGUCAAAAUUUGAAAUUUGUUAAAUCUGGGGUUUGUUUAGCCUGGAGAGUUAGUUUGAUUUGGAGUUUGUUUAAUCUGAAUGGUUUCUCCUUCUUCUUCUUCUUCUUCUUCUUCUUCUUCUUCUUCUUCUUCUUCUUCUCCUCCUGCGUUCAGCCAACAGAUCGCUCUGAGCCAGGUGCUCGUUCUCCUCAGGAUAAAAAUGGGCGGCAACCAGAUCAGCUGUGUGUGUGUGUGUUUGUGUGUUAUUGUGUGUUUGUUUGUAUGUGUGUGUUUUAGUGUGUGUAAGUGUGUUUGUGUGUGUUUGUGUGUGUGUGUGUUUGUGUAUGCAUGUGUUUGAACCUGAUGCAUUACUGACAGGACCGGGCCCUGGUGCAGCAGUGAUCCAUUGUUUUCCUUGGCAGAGAUUAGCGGCCCCCAGGGGCCCGUGCCACAAAGAGAGCUCUGUUACCCACUAGAGUGCUUUAUUGUGCCCCAAAUUACCCCCGUGGAGAGGGGGAAAACAGCAUGGCAAAUAUCGAGCAUGCAUAAUGUCAAUGAGCGAAAUGACAGCUGAAACUCCGUUCUGCUCGUCUUCCUGCGCCGACCAUCGGCGGAGCGGCGGUGGGAAAAACAACUCGGAGCUGUGUACAAACUCUUCGCUCGUAAAUCUCAGAGAUGGAGUUCAAAUGUGUUUGCUCUAGAUCUUUAUCAGCGCUCGUCAAACACACUCACACUCACAGAGGGGACGUUUUUGAUUCUUGUGUGCGGCCCCUCUCUUGAGAAACCGCCAUGUUUCUUGUGGCGUGUCUCUCCCCCUCCCCUUUAAAACUCUUGUUCUUUUUCAUCUGAAACAUGGGUAGAACUUCACAUCCCCAAAUUCCUCUAAGACGGCUCAAACCUCUCCAGAAGACGAAUGGGGUCACGUCUACAAAGGGCAAUAAUCUUCUUUUCUCCGCGGCCUACAAACAAGCCUGUCAAUUGGCUUCAUUGUUAACAUCCUAGGGGACUGGUUUUUAAAAGUGUCAAGAUCAAAAGGCCUGACUGACAAAGCACACUUUUUUAUUAUUGCAGUGGCAGCCCAUAAGCUUUUAAUGUAGAAAAUUACAGUCAUUAAGUACAAGCUGAACAAGGCUUGGAUCUUGACAGGGGCUUUGAGGAGCGAACCACAAAUCAAAAAAACAAGCCCAUGGCGGAGAUAAAGAGGCUUGUAUGUAAAUAUGAGCUCUUUCUACUGGAGCAGAGCACACAGCCCGCCUCUGAGCGUUCCUGCAGCGCCGCACUGGUGGAGUUUCAGGACGCGGUGUCUUCGAAAAGAAAAGGGUAAUUAACCGGAGACUAUAAACAGAGAGAAUCAAAAGCAAGUGAGGCUUGAGAGCGAUCAUUUCAGAGAAGAUGAACGACUUCCAUCUUUAGUCCUGCUGCUAAUUUGAGCUUGUGCUUAAACCUCAGAGAGUUUUCUAAACUUAGGAAGCUUCAGACCUGCGUCAAGAGUCUGUAAACAAAAGACAAAGUGACUCAAGUCGUAUUAGAGUUUGGGGUUAAACUGUGUGAGGCCUAACUGAACCAUCAGGGUGGUGUUUUAAGUUUCAAGCAUGUUUCAAUGGGAGCCAACCGGCCAAAGGUGGAGAAUAUAAACUACAAACCUGUUAGCAUGAAAUUACCAAGACAACAGUUUGGGUGAAAGUCAACGCAGAGAGAUUUAUGACCAGAGGGCUGCAGGGAGUGACACCAAACGUGUCGUCGUCGUUUUCUGCUGCGUCAUCCGAGUCCGGGUCGCGGGGGCAGCAGCUUCAGGAGGGAAGCCCAGACGGCCCUCACCCCAGACACUUCCACUUCCGGUCCUGGGCCGGCCACGAGGUCUCCUCCCGGUGGGACAUGUAUGGAACACCUCUAACGGGAGGCGUCUGAACCAGAAGCCCGAGCCACCUCAGCUGACUCCUCUCGCCGUGGAGGAGCAGCGGUUCUCCUCUGAGCGCCUCCCGAGUGUCCGAGCUCCUUAAUACCCAAAGUUCAUGACCAUAGGUGAGGAUCGGCACGUAGAUCGAUCGGUAAAUCAAGAGUCUCACCUUACGGCUCAGCUCUUUCUUCACCACGACGAAACAUGUGGACAUGCUUUUAUUUUAACAAGCGGAAAACUGGACACUGAGGGCCUGAUUUACAAAAAGUUUGCGUGUACAAAAAGACAAGCAAACUUGAUAGUGCACGCAAAACUGACCUACUACGGGUGCAUCGAGGAUUGCGUCUGUCAAAUGAGCAAAACAACACGCGCAAUGGAUUGAAUGUUUUUGCUUUUAUGAAUUUGCAGAAUGUUUGUAGAUCAUCAGACCGCGCACAAUUCUGGGAGGAGCAGAUGCAAAUGGAGUCAUUAAGUGCCCAAAAUGUGAUCUAUCAAACCUGGAAACCAAUUGCGGUCGCUGUUUUGCGUCUAUGUUUAGCACGUUUGAAAGGCACGUGCAAACUGGCACAACGUUACACACAAAUGGCGUAACGUUGUAAAUAAUUAGGUCAAACACGGAACAGUCGCAAAAAUUCAUCUCUUUGUCUUAUUGAUUUUAAAUUGUUUGAAUCUCUUUAUUUUUUCAUAUUAAAUAUAUUUUCUUGCGUCUGUUAAUCACUCUGAAUCGCCUUGAGUAUGAACAGACAAACUUCCCUUUCCUUUUCUGCAGUUGGUGAAUUCUGACGCUCGCUGUGAAACUCUCAGUGCGUCUAUAAAUAUCACAAAAACAGUUGAAUGCGCUCUCUCCUCACCUUUUCAUUCGUCCGCUGAUGUUAAUGGUCGAUUACGCAAAAUGUGCAGCGGGGGGAGAGGGGUGGGGAGAGGGGGAGUCCGCUCUUACCCAGCUAAAUUGCAGUGCAGUGUUGGUAGUUGCCCUUUGAGUGGCCACCGCGGUGAAAGGCUGGUGGGCCGGGGUGACUCGGCCCUCUCCUCAUUGUUCCCAGAGCUUGGUAUUCCUCUCAUAGCGUGGCCCGGCCUCUAGAGGAUAUGCUUUUAAAGAUCCCAUGCCCUCGCUGUGGCCCCACUCACCUCCCUGACUCACAAUUUUUUUUUUUUCUACAGACACAACCCUUGAACUUCAGCUCACCUCAGGAUAGAGGGAGGGAUGAUCCGGAGCGAAAAAUGAAGACGAGAUCGACCUCCAGAUCAGAAUUAUCCCUGUUUUUAUCAGGCCUCUAUCUGCCUCUCCCCCAUCUAUCCCUCUCUCUUUUUCAUCCCUCCUUUUCCAGGCCUCUCUCUCUCUCUCUCUCUCCCUCACUCUCUCUCUCUCGCUCUCUCUCUCUCUCCUUCCUUUUUGCUGAGUGUCCCGCUCAGCUGGCCAGCACCUUUUCAAUCUUUGCCUGGGGAAUUGUCCCCUGCAUGUCAAGUGUAGCCAUUAGAAGGAAGGGUUUGGAUGAGAGGUGCUUUUCAGGUCCCCGUCCCCCUCACCUUUGAAUGGAGACAAUAGAGCUGUUCUGUAUGUCCAGAUGACCACACACACACACACACACACACACACACACACACACACACACACACACACACACACACUGCCAGCCUGUAGGGUCCCGUACUCUACACUCACAUUUCAGGGAACGGGGUAUUACAUAACAAGCUAAUGUUGUUGUCUCUGACUGUUUUAACGUCUUUAUAGUUUGAACAACAUCACCUGAGAGCGUUUAACCUCAUGACGGCGUGUUAGAGUUAGGGCGUGUAACCCCCAGUUUCCACCGCGUCCGGAACGGCAGUUAAACCGCCAUCAGCGCCAAUCGCCGCUGAUCGUAACUAUUCAAGUUAAUGUGUCAAACUUCACAGGCUUUUUCCAGCCCACCUGCGGUUCAUCGAGCUUCGUAGAUGAUCGCCAGAGUUCGCCAGAACUUUUUCCGGACAUCCGUAUCGUAUUUCACACCAUGCAAACAGGCGGAGACGAACAAGUGAAAGGUUUUUAGACGUCAUUUCACCCCGAUGACACCAUGGAUGAGGAGAUGCUGAUUCUAGAAGUCUAGAAGUAGAUUUCACCAUUAACCCCCAAUUUUCACUGCAUCCGGAACGGCAGCGAAUUUCGCUGUACGCCGAAUCCUACCAGAUCUGUUUAUGAGGCGAAUUCCUGGCAGAUAACAGACAGCAGGAAUUUGCACGGAUUUAUGUGCAAUCACGCAAUAACAAGUCGUCUCUUAUCCACAAAGGAUAACCAUGAAAGCAGUAGAUUGUGUCUGAGCAGAACGACGCACAGCCGUGGAAACAAAAAAAACGACAACGCGACUAAACAAUUGCGAUUCGUCUCAUUUCAGUCAAUGAAAAUAAAGAGACAUUUUAGCAGUUUUUAUUUUGUGAACCACAUUAAGUCUCAUUUUUAUUUGUCAACAAUUUUGUAUGAUAUAUUUAGUGAUAGUUAUCGUCACAAGACCACCAUUUAUGUUUCGUCUUGCCUCGUUUUUGUCACGUGAUAAAGGUUCGUUUACGAUGAUAUUUUGUCAUUGUUUUUGCAGGUCUGAGUCAGGGAUUUUAAACUGAUGAAUGCACGUGAACUUCCCUGCACCUUCAGUUUUCUUCUGUUUGCGUUCGGAGAUCCUCCCUCUGAGUUAUGACCUCUUGUCUUUUUCAGCUGCACUGUGUCCUCGUUUCUCUGGAUCACAGGAGUUUAAAAUCUCAGAUUGAAGAGGAAGAUCAUCUCUCUGAAGACUUCAAAAAGACUCGGUUGUUUUUGGUUUAACUUGAUACACUUGAAUCCCUGUAAAUAUCAGAGCUCGGCGUGUUAACUCUGAUUCUUUGAUAAAGCUCCUCCUGGUUUCUCAAAGAUGACAGUCGAUAAGUAAAGCCCCUGUGCUCAUGUUUCCUCUGACGUGCACAUAUUUUUUAGAUUAAACUACAAGCGGCAGCCAUUACCCGGAGUAACUCCACAAAAUUGGCUGUGAAAUCUUUAGGUUUCGGAUAAGAGCCGGCUAUUAUACGUUGUUUUUCUAUGUGCCAUAGUAAAGCAUUCUACAUCACAGCCAAUGAGACACGGCGGUGUGAAGGGACAGCGGGAUCCAGGCCCAGACAUCGUACUUGGCAAUCUUAAGCCCUGAAAACUAUGAGGAACUUAAAGCACACUCUCUUUAAGGACACAACACAAACUUGGCAUUCAGCACAUUCUCCUGCAGCUCCUUUAAAGCCACGGGUGUCAGGACACGUUACUCUCUCCGCUAACCUUUUACACGAUGUGGCAGCGUGCCUUUCUGAGGAGCGGACUCUGACAACCUUAUCUAAAAGGUCCCUUAAGUGGCCGGCUUUAGAAAAUGACUUGCAGGAAGUUUUAAAAACACACAUUAAAACAAGCUGGAGGGGGAUCAGAGAGUGGAAGGGGGUCAUUGUAAGCCGUACUACGGUGCUCCCAGGCCCACCACCACGGGUUUGUAUAAGCCCCUUACUGAUAAUGCGCCGUACAGUCUGGCCCCCAUUCUUGCCUCCUUGACUGACAAAGUCACUCAUAGCAGCGGAUUAGCAGGCUGCACAGGGGCCCUCCACUCUUAAAUGGCAGAGGUUGUCUGUAAUGUGCCCGUGAUGGACGUGCUGCAACAUGCAGCAGCUAGUUCCAGCCUCCACCUCUCCGUCCCAUUUAAGCCUUCAACCACCCCUCCUUCGCUCCCUCCCUCCUUCCCUCGGUCCAUUCCUCACCUCCUCCCCCCCUCCCCGGUUGUGUAGCAUGAAUCAGGUGGGAGGCCUCCGCUUGGCCUGCAGCAACAAGAAUGUAAAGAUAAUCUUCAGGUGGCUGGUACAACACCGGCUUAUUCCUGGAGCUGAUAGCUGACCUCUCCGUCUAAUGCGGUGAAGACGAGGAAAACACGGCUGCUGAGGAGAGACCUAAAGCUACUCCUCGAAAUCUCAACCUCGGAGUGACGGCACAAACAAGUGCUGCUCACAUGCACUCCGGCUCAACACGAACACGGAGCUGAACUCACAGAGAUGCAUUCAUGUGUUUGUGUGUUUGACAUCUCUGCUGCUUUCUAACCUGUAUCAAAAAAAAUCCCUUUCUCUGGAAAUGGAACAGGAACCCUGAGGCUGAUAACCUCGUGUUUGUCAUCCAUCCACCACAUUUUAUUAUGUUGCUUUAUGCACCAGAUAACAGACACUGAUUUUACUUCCUUUUGUAGUGUCUCUGUGUGUCCUUCUGUUAAACUAUUAUCUGAAAGACAUUUUUAGUGGCGUUAAAACGGGACAAAGGAGAUUAAAAAUACAAACAAAAAUAACUUGAUUUUCACUGAUAACUAUAGUUUUUAUUAGGUCCAUGUCGCAGGAAUCAAAGUUCGACUGCUAUCAUAGAUUUUCAGGAGGUUUUUGGUGCCCUGUCUUACCCAGGAUUUCCAUCGUGUUCGAAACUUGAAUGGUUACGAUCAGCUACGAUCGGAGGAUACGUCCUUCUCGUAGCCGUUCCGGAUGCAGUGGACAUUGGGGUUAAUUCUUUGAGCAGAUCAGAUGGUUAAUGUGAGGUUCUGUUUGCUUUUUGUUAUGUGAAUGUUUGCAUUCAUUACAGUUAGCUUCAACAGCUUUUUUUUAAUAAUGUGAGCUUUACCCUCCAUUUAGACGCAAAUUCGCCCCUGAAAACGAUGCUUUUUAUAAAACUCGGGUCAGAGAGGAGAUUUUGGAAAAAUCUGUUUGCAUUUAAAAAGAGAAAAACGGAGGUAAACAAAAAUUUGGGUAGCCGUCGGCAGUUUGUGUGCAGAAAAGUAGGAAUUGACGUUGUUGUUGCUUCUAUGCAGGAUUCUGAUUGGCUAACGUGGGUUUGAGUUUCUCGCUACACUGCCACCUACAGGUUUGACAUGCUUUUGACGGGGUAUACACGCGGGUUAGUGUAAAUUAAAACUUUUCUGAAAACGUAGCGGUGCGUGCGCAGGUGUAAACAUAGUCUUAUUUGACUCAAAGUAAACUCAUUUUUACUCACUCUCUCUCUUACAGGUUUGAACCCUCAGACGACCGCC